rnacentral:rRNA from 1 species
CCCUUAGAUGCUCUGGGCCGCACGCGCGCUACAAUGGCAGACUCAGCGAGUUACCUCUGUCGAAAGGCACAGGGAAUCUUUACAGUAUCUGCCGUGAUGGGGAUAGACCCUUGUAAUUUUUGGUCUUCAACGAGGAAUUCCUAGUAAACGCAAGUCAUUAACUUGCAUUGAUUACGUCCCUGCCCUUUGUACACACCGCCCGUCGCACCUACCGAUUGAAUGGUCCGGUGAAGUCCUCGGACCCAGUUGAACCUCGAGUUGAACAGGGAAAGUUGACUAAAUCUUACCAUUUAGAGGAAGGUGAAGUCGUAACA